GACGAACGCUGGCGGCGUGCUUAACACAUGCAAGUCGAACGGAAAGGCCCUGCUUUUGUGGGGUGCCCGAGUGGCGAACGGGUGAGUAACGCGUGAGUAACCUGCCCUUGACUUUGGGAUAACUUCAGGAAACUGGGGCUAAUACCGGAUAGGAGCUCCUGCUGCAUGGUGGGGGUUGGAAAGCUUCGGCGGUUGGGGAUGGACUCGCGGCUUAUCAGCUUGUUGGUGGGGUAGUGGCUUACCAAGGCUUUGACGGGUAGCCGGCCUGAGAGGGUGACCGGCCACAUUGGGACUGAGAUACGGCCCAGACUCCUACGGGAGGCAGCAGUGGGGAAUAUUGCACAAUGGGCGGAAGCCUGAUGCAGCAACGCCGCGUGCGGGAUGACGGCCUUCGGGUUGUAAACCGCUUUCGCCUGUGACGAAGCGUGAGUGACGGUAAUGGGUAAAGAAGCACCGGCUAACUACGUG
rnacentral:rRNA from 1 species